UAUAAUAAACCCCAAACAUGUGCUGGUUCUCAAAGAAAAUGUAUUUAAAUGUUUAGGCUAAAUAUUGUUAUAUAUUCUGUGUUGUGUUAGUCAUCCACUAUUUCUUCUAUUUCCACGCCCCCUCCUUCAUUACCUGUAUGCCUGGGGGAAAUGCGGCUUCAAACAUGUGGUAGUGACAUUCAUCUGUGACUGAGCAUGGACAGUAUAGAAAUUGUAAAUUGUAGUGGACCCACUGUCUCUCUUUAGUGGAAGUCAUAUUUAAACGGUGGUAGCGCCCGCUCUGCUGUAGCUGGGCAGCAAGACAACCCGGCUCAGGCAAGAGGUCCCAAUCAGUCAGCCUUACAGACUAUUCAUUCAGUUGGAUUUAAAAAGCCAACUGUGUGGAGAAAUGAGAGUUUUCUCUUUUUUUUUUGUCUCCCCCUGAAAUCAUAUGGAAUUACAGUGCUGCCUGCAUAUGUGGGGAGCCAGCAGCAGGCACAAAAGCCCACAGGAAGCAGCUAUUUCUGUGUGUUUUAUUAACCCAACCAAGCAAUUUAAUUCUUUUGUUCGGGGGAGUUCUACUUCAUUGAUUAACAAAAGCGGGGAUAUAAUUUUUUCAGCCCCCUUUGAAAAGCCUGAAAUGUCAAGCCUUUUAAAGGAGAUUAUUCUGCCUGUGUGCGAUGAAUAGAGCCCAGAGUAACCUUUUGUCUACAAUUAAAUAUUCCAGCAUAAAUAUAAAAGAAAAUCAGAGAUGGGGAAGAUUGAGUCAGGAGAGAUUGGAGAGGUAGAUCCUCUGCCCGAUAGUGGCAACAGCCUGGCUUCUAAUUAGAUAUGCCAGGCGGGCUGUGAGCAGUCAGUCUCCACAGCCACCGAGAGAGGAGGCAGCCUGAGAGAGGAGGACAGAGGAAACCUAUCUGCUCAUCUGUCCGUCCAGCGCCUUCCUCUGGGCCACCACAAAAGGUGCAGAGCUACAGUUGCACCGCUGACAAUUUUUGCAUCCAUCAGAAAACAGAUAAUAGAAUAGAAAUAAAAAAGAAGGAGGAAUUGCUGACUAUUUUCUGUAAAGAAUUUUUACUUGUAACAAAACUGGAGAUGACGUCUUAGUAUUUCUUCACAUCGUUGAGCUUGUUGUCGGGAAGAAAAAUAAAUCAGAUUCUUUAAAUGUCUGCCAUUUCUCUACUUAUAGCUCUCUUCUAUAGCUUGCUAAUUAAUAACUGUGAAAUACAGAUUUUUAUUUCUAUUAAUUUUUAAUUUUUUCCUGCACUUGUAGACCUUGUCCCCAACAUCACUAAACAUGCUCAUAUAAUGAUUUAAACUUUUAGACUUUAUAGUAUAUUGGCAGAAGCCAAAUGUAAUUAUUUAGGGAGUGUCUUAAAGUUAUUAAUUUAUUACUCCUAGACUGACUAUCUUAAUAUUUUGUUAUAUUUCUCUCUUUCAGACUUCUGUACAUUUAUACAAAGCAUCAGGUUUGUCUUCCCUUUCCCGUUUGAAUGUGCUAAAUAAAUACAGUACCUAUAGGUUUAGACACAUGAACAUCACAUGACCACUUUUUAAUUGUACAGUCAUUGGCUAGCUGCGUAAUGAUUUUUCUAAACAAUUUGGUGUUUUUGUUGUUUUAAUAGUCAGUAAAAUAAGUUUUAGCAGUUAUAAAUAUUAGCAGGGAUUCCACUUUGACCUGUUCUAGAAAAAGAAGAAAACUUUACUUGUAGCUUAAACGGUACACACUGUGUGACUUCACAGACCCUGUACAACUCUGGUGUUUUGAUUUUAAUUUUCCAAAUAUUUCAAAUAAUUGUUUUCAUGUACAAGCUGUGCACCUGUCUUAGAAGUUAGGGAGUGUCAACAAAGUAGUUCUUUUUUUGCGUUCUUUUGGUACAACAUCAUAAUAUUUCAUGACUAAUAUAAUAUCUGUCAUCAUUGUAAAGGGUUGUGCUAAAAAUGUUUUGUUGUUAUUAAGCAGUUAUACUGGGGGUGUUCAACCUUUGGCUCCUGGGGCACAUGCAGUGCUUUAGCCGUUUCCUAUGAAAUUUUAUGUAAAGUUUGUGAAUCGACCAAUUCUGUGUUUUCUUUUGUUUUUUCGUGAUUUUUCACCUGAUUUGUCUUUUAGCAUUUUUCUGCUCAGUCUGCAGACACUGACUCAUCAGUGACUGUCCGUGACUGUUGUCAAAAGGAUUUGCUAUAACAUUGAAAUGUCACUAGGUUGUUAUGCAUCAUAAUUUGUGAUUAUUUGCUGUAGUCAGACUUUUCUAUCAAAUAUAGGUUUAAAUCUUUACUUAUAUGAAGUCGAAAUAUCUUAUAUUUUGUUGCUUUAAAAUAGCAACCCAACAUGGUAUCACAGUCCUCCAUGAAUUGAAACUGACUGUGUCACAGUCAAGGCCCACCAGUCUCCUCUGCUGGUCUAAACAGUAUCAGGUUCAGUCACUCAUUUUACAAUAUAUUUAUCAUUAAUAUUUAUUAAAUAAUUCAGAGUAUUCUGUUCUUAUCUUUUUUGUUGUGCUGCUUCCUGUUGAUACAGCCAAAGUUUUCUUUUUUUUUUAGCCAAUCAUAUAUCAGCGUCAUGUGUUGGCAGGUUGAAAGAAAUCAGUUCAAAGGCCUUCAGAAUCAGUAGUGCUAGCAUGGGGGGCUAAAAUAAAUGGCAAUGACUUUAACCAAUCAGAUUUUGAGUUGGUAUCAAACUGGCGUAUCAAGACUUUCUAGCUGUCCUGCAGUUACUUUGGUGAUUAAAGGGAUUUGAUUGGAUGGACAAAGAACACAAGGUCUUAAAUCUACCAGAAUGCAUCGAGUGACAUGGACGCUUGAAAAUUAAGUUUUCUCUGCAUCCACUGUUUCUGACUCAACAUAGGUAUGAUGGCACAGACUGGAUGGUUAGGAAAAGACUUGUUAGAACUGGAACCCACUGAUAAUCUGUCCAGAACAGAGUAAUUAAAAUCUUAAGGAAAGAGAAGAGGAUUUUUUUUUUACAAAUUAUCAGAAGUUUAAAAGUGUAAAAUGUGUUUUGUCUUUUAAAUAAUAUUGUAAUUAUCGUACGUUAUUAAUGAUGUUUUUGUCUCACCGGUGGUUGAAUUGUACUUCGUGGGUUGUCUUGUU